GACGAACCGUCCUAACGUUGUUCGGAUUCACUGGGCUUAAAGGGCGCGUAGGCGGUUUGUACAGUCAGACGUGAAAUUCCUGGGCUCAACCUGGGGGCUGCGUUUGAUACGUGCGAGCUUGAGUUCGGAAGAGGGUCGUGGAAUUCCCAGUGUAGAGGUGAAAUUCGUAGAUAUUGGGAAGAACACCGGUGGCGAAGGCGGCGACCUGGUCCGAUACUGACGCUGAGGCGCGAAAGCGUGGGGAGCAAACAGG
rnacentral:rRNA from 1 species